CUACUUAUAAGGUGAAGCAUAGAGAUUGUGCUUUUAGCUGUAAAAAUGGGUCCAAGAACAUAAGCUAUUCAAAGAGGACUUCUUCCUGCUGUAACACAGACCGGUGUAAUGACCAAGAUGCUCCAGAUCCCUCUAAUGUCCCCAAUGGAAAGACAUGUUUCUCUUGUCAUGGGCAGAACUGCACAAACAUACUGAACUGUUCAGGGAGUGAGGACCACUGCUUCACAGGUCAAACAGGGAUUUUCGGAAACCAGUCAACUGUUUUAAAAGGCUGUGUCUCUAAAUCUUUUUGUGAUUCCUCAACAUCGGUUAGUAAUGAUACGGUCAUCAGAUGUUGUGAGGGGAACCUGUGUAACGAUGCUGCCACCACAAAUUUCACACUGAACACCAUGUAUAAUGGUAAUAACAGCGUCACCCCGAGCUCCAUGUAUAACGGUAAUAACGGUGUCACCACGAGCUCCACAUAUAACGAUCAUAACAGCGUCACCCCGAGCUCCACGUAUAACGGUAAUAACAGUGUUACCCAGAACAUCACGUAUAACGGUAAUAACAGUGUCACCCAGCACACCACAUAUAACAGUGCUAACAGUGUUAAGCCGAGCUCCACACAUAACGGUGCUCAGAGUGUCACCCAGAGCUUCCUGUUCCUCUGCUGUUCUCUGUUCUCCUACUUCCUGCUGCAUUGAAUGCAGCAGCUCUUCAAAUUCUACAUUGUUACACGCUGUGCAGAAUAUAUAGCUUGUAUUUCCUCUAAGCUAUAUUUGGUGUUCUGAUGUGACAUUUUUUAAAUUAAAAUACAGGGGUUGGACAAAAUAAUGUGAACACCCAUUAUUAUAGGGGUUAAUAUCAUUUGUGUAGGCUUUACAGUGAAAAAACAAACAUUGCAAUUAUCUUUUAUUUAAUUUUCUAGUUUGUAUGUCAGUGCCGUAUAAGUGGUUUUCAGUAGUUUUUAGUACAAGCCAUGUGUGAAAUGGGUGACUUGUCAGAUGUCCAAAAAGGCCAAAUCAUCAGAGCCCGUUUAACAAGAGCAUCUGUAACCUUGAAGGGUUAGUUCACCCAAAAAUGAAAAUUCUCUCAUUAAUUACUCAUCCUCAUGUCGUUCCAAACCUGUAAGACUUUCGUUCAUCUUCAGAACACAAAUGAAGAUCUUUUUGAUGAAAUCUUGAGAGAUUUCUCUUCCUCCAUACACAGCUACGCA